AUUUAUAUUAAUUGUCUAUUUAGUGAACAUUUGCAGAAUAUUUCCUUUAACCUCUUUGCAAAUGUCUCUAACCCUAGGGGGUGGAUUCACACCAAUUUACCAUUGGGGACUUCUCUCAUGAGCUCAUCAAUUGAGAAGAGAUUUCAAAAUCAAACUAAAAAAAGUGGUGCUCUUACCAUUAUUUCAGAAAAGUCAAAAAAAUUGCAUGCAAUUUACACAAUUACAAUGUUAACAUGCAGAUACAAAGAACAGCUUAGGCUACUAGCAAAAUA
rnacentral:lncRNA from 1 species